AUUGAACGCUGGCGGCAUGCCUUACACAUGCAAGUCGAACGGCAGCACGGGAGCAAUCCUGGUGGCGAGUGGCGAACGGGUGAGUAAAGUAUCGGAACGUGCCCAGUCGUGGGGGAUAACGUAGCGAAAGUUACGCUAAUACCGCAUACGAUCUAUGGAUGAAAGCGGGGGAUCGCAAGACCCCGCGCGAUUGGAGCGGGCGAUAUCGGAUUAGGUAGUUGGUGGGGUAAAGGCUAACCAAGCCGACGAUCUGUAGCUGGUCUGAGAGGACGACCAGCCACACUGGGACUGAGACACGGCCCAGACUCCGACGGGAGGCAGUAGUGGGGAAUUUUGGACAAUGGGCGAAAGCCUGAUCCAGCCAUGCCUCGGGCAGGAUGAAGGCCUUCGGGUUGUAAACUGCUUUUGUACGGAACGAAAAGGUUUGGCCUAAUAAGCUGAGCUCAUGACGGUACCGUAAGAAUAAGCACCGGCUAACUACGUGCCAGCCGCCGCCGUAA
rnacentral:rRNA from 1 species